rnacentral:rRNA from 1 species
AACGCGAAGAACCUUACCUACUCUUGACAUCCUCGGAAUCUGCUAGAGAUAGUGGAGUGCCUUCGGGAACCGAGAGACAGGUGCUGCAUGGCUGUCGUCAGCUCGUGUCGUGAGAUGUUGGGUUAAGUCCCGUAACGAGCGCAACCCUUAUCCUUAGUUGCCAUUGGGUAAAGCCAGGAACUCUAGGGAGACUGCCGGUGACAAGCCGGAGGAAGGCGGGGACGAUGUCAAGUCAUCAUGGCCCUUACGAGUAGGGCUACACACGUGCUACAAUGGGCGGUACAAAGGGAAGCGAAACUGUGAAGUGGAGCGAAUCUCAGAAAGCCGCUCGUAGUCCGGAUUGGAGUCUGCAACUCGACUCCAUGAAGUUGGAAUCGCUAGUAAUCGCGGAUCAGAACGCCGCGGUGAAUACGUUCUCGGGCCUUGUACACACCGUACGUC